UGCUCUUUUGUUUUCUUUGCUAAACAAUGAGCACACACAUACAUGAAGCCCCUCUGUCAUCUUCAUCAAGUUCCUCACCCAAAUCACAACACUGAACCUACAUAAUCACCCUCAUCUUUCUCUCGAUUACUCUCAUUUUCUUACAAACAAAACGCAGGUGGUGGCGGCGUUUGGCGACUGCAACAGUGGCGGCAAACGAGCGGCGGUGGUGGUGUGGCUCGGUGGGUUUCACGGCGGCGACGAGACUAGAGUCCGCCGCGACGGCAGACGAGCGGCGGUGGUGGUGCUUGGUCCGACGAGUUCACGCUCGGGUCAGGUUACGGGUCUCGGGUCAGUCGUGGUUCGGGAGAUUCGGAGUACACCGGGAGACCGCAACCAUCGGAGACGAAUUCGUCUCCGGAGUCGAGUCGGAAGUUCAGUGACUUCUGUUCGUUUUGGGGUCGAGUCAUGGAGUUAAUCAUUUUGUUCGUUCCUUGGAAUUUCUCAAUCUUUACUCGUGCGUUAAUUCAAGAAAUUCUCAUACGCAACCAAGGAUUGUGACAGAUGAAUCUAGUAGGAUUGCCUAGAAACGCAUUUAAACUUUAUUGCUCAUUGUAUUGUAAUUUACUUUCAAUCCUGUUGUAUUCUGGUUCCGAUACUUGUAAGAAUUCAUUAUUAAUGAAAUGAAAUAUAAUUAUUU
rnacentral:lncRNA from 1 species